AACCAUAAAAAGAUUAUCUAGCCAGCGCUCACAGAGACGUUUACUCUGAACAGUGGCAUUUUUUGGAAGAGAACCAACAGAUGUUUCUGGUUUGUCUAAACCAACAACUUCUUCUGCAACGCUUUCUUCUGCAACUUCGUUUUGAUCGGGAGAAGCGUUUCCUUCUGUAAUAUCAUUUAAGGAUCUAUAUUCUUCUUCCAUCACAAAGACAGCUGAACGAACCCGCAAUAGUUCAUCCCAACCUAUUUUGGCACAUAUAAGGGUGAGCAUUUCAUAUGCCUUCGCAAAUGUACCACGAAGACUGGGAGAUGGUAGGCGAGCUAAGUAAGGAUCGGUAAUUUCGGUAGAAACUGUAUAACCGUUCUGCGCAUUAUUUUCAACUUCCAGUUCUUCUUUAGGAAAAUUGACAGGAAAUGGUAAAUGAGCACGAGCACUAGGAGGCAAAGGAUAAGCAUCUCUUUCAUAGUAAGUAUACAUGGGACAGGAGUUUAGAGCUAACAACGCUGAUUUAAAAUCCUCCAAAUGCAAGUAUACAUCAGCCAAACAUGCCCAAGUUGCAAAUUCUGAUGGAGAAGCAUGAACGGCGCGCUUAGCACAGAUAAGUGCAAGGUCAUAGCGCUCUUUUGAAAUCAGAAACUUAACUUGAACAAUAAGCAAACUAGCGGACAUUCUUUGUUUUAGCAAUGAAUCAUGCAAGAUACGAACAGCAUGCACUUCAUGGUCCAUUAGUAAGUAUAGUUCAGCAAGCAAAACCGAUACCUCUGGAAUUGACACCCGGAGCUUUUCAAAAAGAUUUAGAGCAGCACUGUAGCGGCAGGUUUGCUUCAAGUAAGCGAAAAUUCCACGAACCAAAUGAUUAUUUACAUGCGUAGGUACCCGAACUUCAGAAGAAGACCCUAGAGUAUAACCUAACGUAAAAAGCUGUUCGGCAGCCUCAAAAAAUCUUAAUUCUGCAUCAGGAUUUGGAAUGGGGUUAAAACGACGAUGUCCUGCAAAGCGAGAAUUUGUAUCAUCAGAAUAAAGUAACGAACGAAGGACUUCAGACAUAUAUGCUUCUGUCCACAUACGAGCAUCGACAAUAUGCUUUUGCCCAUUCUCAUCAAUAGCAUAUGUGUCAACACCUCCAGGAAUUUUAGCUUCCACACGAACAUCAACUUGAGAGAAGACAUUGUAGCAACAGUAAACUCCGUGACUAACACGCCAAGCGUUUCCCUUCCCAAACCAUUGUUGACUUUUAUCAAGAGAAUAGGAAAGCGUAUUUAAAUAUGCCGCUAGUGAAGCUGAGGAA